rnacentral:sRNA from 1 species
GCCAGGUGUGGUGGCACACGCCUGUAAUCCCAGUGAUUCAGGAGGCUGAGGCAGGAGGAUCACAAAUUCAAAGCCAACCUCAGCAAAUUAGCAAGGCCCUAAGGAACUUAGUGAGACUCUGGUUCAU